rnacentral:rRNA from 1 species
GUGUUAAGUGGAAAAGGAUGUGGGAUUUCGAAGACAACUAGGAUGUUGGCUCAGAAGCAGCCAUUCAUUCAAAGAGUGCGUAAUAGCUCACUAGUCGAGAGGUCCUGCGCCGAAAAUGUCCGGGGCUAAAACACACUGCCGAAGCUUUGGAAUUGAGAAUUCAAUUGGUAGAGGAGCAUUCUUAAAGGGACGAAGCAGUACCGUAAGGAGCUGUGGACUUUUAAGAAGAGAGAAUGCCGGAAUGAGUAGCGAGAGGAAGGUGGGAAUCCUUCCGGCCGAAUAUCUAAGGUUUCCAGAGUAAAGCUGAUCUGCUCUGGGUAAGUCGGGGCCUAAGGCGAGGUCGAAAGACGUAGUCGAUGGAUAACAGGUUGAAAUUCCUGUACUAUCCUGUAACAGAACUGUGGGGACACAGGCAGAGAGCGUGAGCCGGGAAUGGAAAGACCGGUACAAGCGAGGUAGGAGAAGAGUUGGCAAAUCCGCUCUUUAAUCUGAAGACGUGAUGUGGACUGAAAAUAAGUAGGGAAGCACGUGAGCUGACUGUCAAGAAAAGCCGCUAUUGUUUGCAGGAUACCCGUACCGUAAACCGACACAGGUGGAUGAGGAGAGAAUCCUAAGGCCGACGGGAGAAGCAUUGUUAAGGAACUCGGCAAAAUGACUCCGUAACUUCGGGAGAAGGAGUGCCAGUAAGAUGGCCGCAGAGAAUUGGCCCAAGCAACUGUUUAGCAAAAACACAGGUCUAUGCAAAACCGAAAGGUGAGGUAUAUGGGCUGACGCCUGCCCGGUGCUGGAAGGUUAAGGGGAGAGGUUAGCGCAAGCGAAGCUUUGAACUUAAGCCCCAGUAAACGGCGGCCGUAACUAUAACGGUCCUAAGGUAGCGAAAUUCCUUGUCGGGUAAGUUCCGACCCGCACGAAAGGCGUAAUGAUUUGGGCACUGUCUCAACAAUGCACCCGGUGAAAUUGAAAUACCAGUGAAGAUGCUGGUUACCUGCGCCAGGACGGAAAGACCCCAUGGAGCUUUACUCCAGCUUGAUACUGGGAUUCGGUAUUGCAUGUACAGGAUAGGUGGGAGGCUAGGAAAUGGUAACGCCAGUUGCCAUGGAGCCAAUGUUGGGAUACCACCCUUGCAGUACUGGGUUUCUAACCAGCAGCCGUGAUCCGGCUGGGGGACAAUGUCAGGUGGGGAGUUUGACUGGGGCGGUCGCCUCCGAAAGGGUAUCGGAGGCGCUCAAAGGUUCCCUCAGAAUGGUUGGAAACCAUUCGAAGAGUGCAAAGGCAGAAGGGAGCUUGACUGCGACACCGACGGGUGGAGCAGGUACGAAAGUAGGACUUAGUGAUCCGGUGGUAUAAAGUGGGAUUGCCAUCGCUCAACGGAUAAAAGCUACCCUGGGGAUAACAGGCUUAUCACUCCCAAGAGUUCACAUCGACGGAGUGGUUUGGCACCUCGAUGUCGGCUCAUCGCAUCCUGG